rnacentral:lncRNA from 1 species
AAGCAUUUCAUUUUAAAUAAAUAUAUUGGCACCAUGUGCUCUCUGUAAUACUAAAUGAUGUACUAGGCACUGAUGGAUUCCAGAUGGAGUAAGGACAUGAAAUUAAACUGGGGCAAUGAGUUUGGAUGAAGAACAGAACAGAGGUAAAGGGCCCUGUCAUCACAUCACAUGAGAAAGUCCAUGUUAUCAACAUGACAUCACUGGUGGUGCUAGCCAUGAUCACUGGAAGAAUAUAUAUGUAGAGGAAAUACAUCACACAGAUAUUUGGAGAAGACUAUUUCAGGUGUGCUGAAGCCCUAUCCCCAAGAUGACUAUAUUUGGAGACAGGAUUUUUGGAGGAAUAUUUCAUCUUUUGGUUUAGAAAUUCAAAGCAUUCAAGUUUAUUAAGCACUUGACUAGGAAGAAAGGACCAAAGAGAGACAAUGUUUUCUCUUAUACACAUUGUUUGCACAUUGCUCGUUAACACCUCCAGGACAGAGCAUCACCAUGAAAUUCUCUAUUGAGCAGUAAAGAGAGACAGAGAGAGAGAGAGAGAGAAGAAAAAAGAAACAACAGCCUGGAAGUAGCUUUUGUCUUUCAUCACUAUUCACUACUGAGAUGUUUUAAUAGCUAUAAAAGGAGAGAGAGAUUGUCAUGCUGCCAUGAAAUGGAUAUAAACAAUUUUCAGCUGAGACUCUGACCAAAAAAAUUACUCAGGGAGUACAAUUAGAACAUUCACAACACAAAGGGAUCAUGAAUGCUUGAGGUGACGUAUCCCCUGCUACCCUCGG